CAAAGGAGCAAUCCGCUGAAAGAUGGGCUCGCGUCCGAUUAGGUAGUUGGCGGGGCAACGGCCCACCAAGCCGACGAUCGGUAGCCGGACUGAGAGGUUGAACGGCCACAUUGGGACUGAGACACGGCCCAGACUCCUACGGGAGGCAGCAGUGAGGGAUAUUGGUCAAUGGGGGAAACCCUGAACCAGCAACGCCGCGUGAGGGAAGACGGUUUUCGGAUUGUAAACCUCUGUCCUCUGUGAAGAUGAUGACGGUAGCAGAGGAGGAAGCUCCGGCUAACUACGUGCCAGCAGCCGCGGUAAUACGUAGGGAGCAAGCGUUGUCCGGAUUUACUGGGUGUAAAGGGUGCGUAGGCGGCUUUGCAGGUCAGAAGUGAAAUCCAUGGGCUUAACCCAUGAACUGCUUUUGAAACUGCAGAGCUUGAGUGGAGUAGAGGUAGGCGGAAUUCCCGGUGUAGCGGUGAAAUGCGUAGAGAUCGGGAGGAACACCAGUGGCGAAGGCGGCCUGCUGGGCUCUAACUGGCGCUGAGGCACGAAAGCGUGGGUAGCAAACAGGAUUAGAUACCCUGGUAGUCCACGCUGUAAACGAUGAUUACUAGGUGUGGGUGGACUGACCCCAUCC
rnacentral:rRNA from 1 species